CGGAUAGAGGUGCGGUGAGAUUAGUAGUAACAGUAUCAUAACCGAUUAAUUGCUGUUAUCGAAAGGCAGAACCGCCGAAGAAUAUCUUCCCUUUUCGGUUACGGGGAAAUAAUCUGGCAAUCGCUCCGAACAGGACUUUUGCUGUCAUCAUGCUUUAAUUUAAUGUGAUGGAGAGCUAUCA
rnacentral:ncRNA from 1 species